CCUACGGGUGGCAGCAGUGAGGAAUAUUGGUCAAUGGACGAGAGUCUGAACCAGCCAAGUAGCGUGAAGGAUGACUGCCCUAUGGGUUGUAAACUUCUUUUAUAUGGGAAUAAAAUGUUCCACGUGUGGGAUUUUGUAUGUACCAUAUGAAUAAGGAUCGGCUAACUCCGUGCCAGCAGCCGCGGUAAUACGGAGGAUCCGAGCGUUAUCCGGAUUUAUUGGGUUUAAAGGGAGCGUAGGUGGAUUGUUAAGUCAGUUGUGAAAGUUUGCGGCUCAACCGUAAAAUUGCAGUUGAAACUGGCAGUCUUGAGUACAGUAGAGGUGAGCGGAAUGCGUGGUGUAGCGGUGAAAUGCUUAGAUAUCACGAAGAACUCCGAUUGCGAAGGCAGUUCACUGGACUGCAACUGACACUGAGGCUCGAAAGUGUGGGUAUCAAACAGGAUUAGAUACCCUAGUAGUC
rnacentral:rRNA from 1 species